rnacentral:rRNA from 1 species
CCUACGGGGGGCUGCAGUGAGGAAUAUUGGUCAAUGGGCGCAGGCCUGAACCAGCCAAGUAGCGUGAAGGAUGACUGCCCUAUGGGUUGUAAACUUCUUUUAUAUGGGAAUAAAGUUUUCCACGUGUGGAAUUUUGUAUGUACCAUAUGAAUAAGGAUCGGCUAACUCCGUGCCAGCAGCCGCGGUAAUACGGAGGAUCCGAGCGUUAUCCGGAUUUAUUGGGUUUAAAGGGAGCGUAGGUGGACAGUUAAGUCAGUUGUGAAAGUUUGCGGCUCAACCGUAAAAUUGCAGUUGAUACUGGCUGUCUUGAGUACAGUAGAGGUGGGCGGAAUUCGUGGUGUAGCGGUGAAAUGCUUAGAUAUCACGAAGAACUCCGAUUGCGAAGGCAGCUCACUGGACUGCAA